AAACAGCCCCAGGCCUUGGGAGAUGCAACCAAAUAAAACACAGAGAAGGAGCCGGGGCUGGGGUGCAUUUGCCUGAUCACUGCAGGCACCCGUCCCACCCCAAUCCUGGUGUGCAGCAACUCUGCUCCAGAGCCAUUUAAAGCUCUAACUUUGCUGUCUCCCCAUCGUUCCCAGCACUGUCAGGUAUCCAUGGCAAAGGAGGAGCAGACCCCUCCCUUCAGCCUGUGGUUCAGACAGCAGCUCUGGGAGCUGGAGGGCAACUCGACCUCUUUAAAUCAGACUUUCCCUAAUGAAAGCUGCAGCUAAAAUAUGAAAGAGGAUUAAGCAAGGAUUAAUAAAGGAAAGGUAGACAA